rnacentral:rRNA from 1 species
GAAAGCAACCUGACGGUACCGGAAUAGAAAGCCACGGCUAACUACGUGCCAGCAGCCGCGGUAAUACGUAGGUGGCAAGCGUUGUCCGGAAUUAUUGGGCGUAAAGCGCGCGCAGGCGGAUUGGUCAGUCUGUCUUAAAAGUUCGGGGCUUAACCCCGUGAUGGGAUGGAAACUGCCAAUCUAGAGUAUCGGAGAGGAAAGUGGAAUUCCUAGUGUAGCGGUGAAAUGCGUAGAUAUUAGGAAGAACACCAGUGGCGAAGGCGACUUUCUGGACGAAAACUGACGCUGAGGCGCGAAAGCCAGGGGAGCGAACGGGAUUAGAUACCCCGGUAGUCCUGGCCGUAAACGAUGGGUCGACGCGGCCG